GUUAGCGUAGCUUAACUAAAGCAUAACACUGAAGAUGUUAAGAUGGGCCCUAGAAAGCCCCGCCAACA
rnacentral:tRNA from 2 species